UACGGGGGGAGCAAGCGUUGUUCGGAUUUACUGGGCGUAAAGAGCGUGUAGGCGGCCAGAUAGGUCCGUUGUGAAAACUCGAGGCUCAACCUCGAGACGCCGAUGGAAACCAUUUGGCUAGAGUCCGGAAGAGGAGAGUGGAAUUCCUGGUGUAGCGGUGAAAUGCGUAGAUAUCCGGAGGAACACCAGUGGCGAAAGCGGCCACCUGGACUGCACCUGACGCUGACACGCGAAAGCUAGGGGAGCGAACGGG
rnacentral:rRNA from 1 species